CCUACGGGCGGCAGCAGUGAGGAAUUUUCCGCAAUGGUCGCAAGACUGACGGAGCAACGCCGCGUGCAGGAGGACGCUUUUCGGAGUGUAAACUGCUUUUCUGUGGGAAGAGGAUGGACGGUACCACAGGAAGAAGCCCCGGCUAACUACGUGCCAGCAGCCGCGGUAAUACGUAGGGGGCGAGCGUUGUCCGGAGUUACUGGGCGUAAAGGGCACGCAGGCGGUUCUGCGCGUUUUGCGUGACAGCGGGUGGCUUACCUGCCCGAGUACGCGAAAGACGGUAGGACUUGAGAGCCAGAGAGGGACACGGAAUUCCGGGUGGAGUGGUGAAAUGCGUAGAGAUCCGGAGGAACACCGAAGGCGAAGGCAGUGUCCUGGCGAGCGACUGACGCUGAGGUGCGAAAGCGUGGGGAGCAAACAGGAUUAGAUACCCCUGUAGUC
rnacentral:rRNA from 1 species